CGCCAGUGGCAGCGCCGGGUAGCUAAGUGCGGAAGAGAUAACCGCUGAAAGCAUCUAAGCGGGAAACUCGCCUCAAGAUGAGACUUCCCGGGGACUCGAUCCCCCUGAAGGGUCGUGGAAGACCACCACGUUGAUAGGCCGGAUGUGGAAGGGCAGUAAUGUCUUAAGCUAACCGGUACUAAUUGCCCGUGCGGCUUGAUCCU
rnacentral:ncRNA from 1 species